rnacentral:rRNA from 1 species
AGGGCGCACGGUGGAUGCCUUGGCACUAGAAGCCGAUGAAGGACGUUACUAACGACGAUAUGCUUUGGGGAGCUGUAAGUAAGCUUUGAUCCAGAGAUUUCCGAAUGGGGAAACCCAGCAUGAGUUAUGUCAUGUUAUCGAUAUGUGAAUACAUAGCAUAUCAGAAGGCACACCCGGAGAACUGAAACAUCUUAGUACCCGGAGGAAGAGAAAGAAAAUUCGAUUCCCUUAGUAGCGGCGAGCGAAACGGGAAGAGCCCAAACCAACAAGCUUGCUUGUUGGGGUUGUAGGACACUCUAUACGGAGUUACAAAGGACGACAUUAGACGAAUCAUCUGGAAAGAUGAAUCAAAGAAGGUAAUAAUCCUGUAGUCGAAAAUGUUGUCUCUCUUGAGUGGAUCCUGAGUACGACGGAGCACGUGAAAUUCCGUCGGAAUCUGGGAGGACCAUCUCCUAAGGCUAAAUACUCUCUAGUGACCGAUAGUGAACCAGUACCGUGAGGGAAAGGUGAAAAGCACCCCGGAAGGGGAGUGAAAUAGAACCUGAAACCGUGUGCUUACAAGUAGUCAGAGCCCGUUAAUGGGUGAUGGCGUGCCUUUUGUAGAAUGAACCGGCGAGUUACGAUUUGAUGCAAGGUUAAGCAGUAAAUGUGGAGCCGUAGCGAAAGCGAGUCUGAAUAGGGCGUUUAGUAUUUGGUCGUAGACCCGAAACCAGGUGAUCUACCCUUGGUCAGGUUGAAGUUCAGGUAACACUGAAUGGAGGACCGAACCGACUUACGUUGAAAAGUGAGCGGAUGAACUGAGGGUAGCGGAGAAAUUCCAAUCGAACCUGGAGAUAGCUGGUUCUCUCCGAAAUAGCUUUAGGGCUAGCCUCAAGUGAUGAUUAUUGGAGGUAGAGCACUGUUUGGACGAGGGGCCCCUCUCGGGUUACCGAAUUCAGACAAACUCCGAAUGCCAAUUAAUUUAACUUGGGAGUCAGAACAUGGGUGAUAAGGUCCGUGUUCGAAAGGGAAACAGCCCAGACCACCAGCUAAGGUCCCAAAAUAUAUGUUAAGUGGAAAAGGAUGUGGCGUUGCCCAGACAACUAGGAUGUUGGCUUAGAAGCAGCCAUCAUUUAAAGAGUGCGUAAUAGCUCACUAGUCGAGUGACACUGCGCCGAAAAUGUACCGGGGCUAAACAUAUUACCGAAGCUGUGGAUUGUCCUUUGGACAAUGGUAGGAGAGCGUUCUAAGGGCGUUGAAGCAUGAUCGUAAGGACAUGUGGAGCGCUUAGAAGUGAGAAUGCCGGUGUGAGUAGCGAAAGACGGGUGAGAAUCCCGUCCACCGAUUGACUAAGGUUUCCAGAGGAAGGCUCGUCCGCUCUGGGUUAGUCGGGUCCUAAGCUGAGGCCGACAGGCGUAGGCGAUGGAUAACAGGUUGAUAUUCCUGUACCACCUAUAAUCGUUUUAAUCGAUGGGGGGACGCAGUAGGAUAGGCGAAGCGUGCGAUUGGAUUGCACGUCUAAGCAGUAAGGCUGAGUAUUAGGCAAAUCCGGUACUCGUUAAGGCUGAGCUGUGAUGGGGAGAAGACAUUGUGUCUUCGAGUCGUUGAUUUCACACUGCCGAGAAAAGCCUCUAGAUAGAAAAUAGGUGCCCGUACCGCAAACCGACACAGGUAGUCAAGAUGAGAAUUCUAAGGUGAGCGAGCGAACUCUCGUUAAGGAACUCGGCAAAAUGACCCCGUAACUUCGGGAGAAGGGGUGCUCUUUAGGGUUAACGCCCAGAAGAGCCGCAGUGAAUAGGCCCAAGCGACUGUUUAUCAAAAACACAGGUCUCUGCUAAACCGUAAGGUGAUGUAUAGGGGCUGACGCCUGCCCGGUGCUGGAAGGUUAAGAGGAGUGGUUAGCUUCUGCGAAGCUACGAAUCGAAGCCCCAGUAAACGGCGGCCGUAACUAUAACGGUCCUAAGGUAGCGAAAUUCCUUGUCGGGUAAGUUCCGACCCGCACGAAAGGCGUAACGAUUUGGGCACUGUCUCAACGAGAGACUCGGUGAAAUCAUAGUACCUGUGAAGAUGCAGGUUACCCGCGACAGGACGGAAAGACCCCGUGGAGCUUUACUGUAGCCUGAUAUUGAAAUUCGGCACAGCUUGUACAGGAUAGGUAGGAGCCUUUGAAACGUGAGCGCUAGCUUACGUGGAGGCGCUGGUGGGAUACUACCCUAGCUGUGUUGGCUUUCUAACCCGCACCACUUAUCGUGGUGGGAGACAGUGUCAGGCGGGCAGUUUGACUGGGGCGGUCGCCUCCUAAAAGGUAACGGAGGCGCUCAAAGGUUCCCUCAGAAUGGUUGGAAAUCAUUCAUAGAGUGUAAAGGCAUAAGGGAGCUUGACUGCGAGACCUACAAGUCGAGCAGGGUCGAAAGACGGACUUAGUGAUCCGGUGGUUCCGCAUGGAAGGGCCAUCGCUCAACGGAUAAAAGCUACCCCGGGGAUAACAGGCUUAUCUCCCCCAAGAGUCCACAUCGACGGGGAGGUUUGGCACCUCGAUGUCGGCUCGUCGCAUCCUGGGGCUGUAGUCGGUCCCAAGGGUUGGGCUGUUCGCCCAUUAAAGCGGUACGCGAGCUGGGUUCAGAACGUCGUGAGACAGUUCGGUCCCUAUCCGUCGUGGGCGUAGGAAAUUUGAGAGGAGCUGUCCUUAGUACGAGAGGACCGGGAUGGACAUACCUCUGGUGUACCAGUUGUCGUGCCAACGGCAUAGCUGGGUAGCUAUGUGUGGACGGGAUAAGUGCUGAAAGCAUCUAAGCAUGAAGCCCCCCUCAAGAUGAGAUUUCCCAACUUCGGUUAU